rnacentral:rRNA from 1 species
AUUGAACGCUGGCGGCCGGCCUAACACAUGCAAGUCGAACGAGUGGCGGACGGGUGAGUCAUUUCUGGGAAACUGCCCGAUGGAGGGGGAUAACUACUGGAAACGGUAGCUAAUACCGCAUACCAUCGGAUGUGCACAGAUGGGAUUAGCGAGUGGGUUGGGUAACGGCUCACCUAGGCGACGAUCCCUAGCUGGUCUGAGAGGAUGACCCGCCACCAUGGAACGGAGACACGGUGCAGACGCCGACGGGAGGCAGCAGUGGGGAAGAUUGCACAAGGGGCGCAAGCCUGAGACAGCCAUGCCGCGUGUAUGAAGAAGGCCUUCGGGUUGUAAAGUACUUUCAGCGAGGAGGAGUUACUCGCAGAAGAAGCACCGGCUAACUCCGUGCCAGCAGCCGCGGUAAUAC